rnacentral:rRNA from 1 species
GAUGAACGCUAGCGGCAGGCCUAACACAUGCAAGUCGAGGGGCAGCACAGAAACAGCAAUGUUUUGGUGGCGACCGGCGGACGGGUGCGUAACGCGUAUGCAACCUACCUUUAACAGGGGGAUAACGGAGAGAAAUUUCCACUAAUACCCCAUAACAUCGAUCAAAGCAUCGUGAUUGGUUGAAAACUACGGUGGUUAAAGAUGGGCAUGCGUUGUAUUAGGUAGUUGGUGAGGUAAUGGCUAACCAAGCCUACGAUACAUAGGGGGACUGAGAGGUUAGCCCCCCACACUGGUACUGAGACACGGACCAGACUCCUACGGGAGGCAGCAGUGAGGAAUAUUGGUCAAUGGGGGCAACCCUGAACCAGCCAUGCCGCGUGCAGGAAGACGGCUCUAUGAGUUGUAAACUGCUUUUAAACAGGGAUAGAGCACAGUAUGUAUACUGUGUUGAAGGUACUGUAAGAAUAAGGAUCGGCUAACUCCGUGCCAGCCGCCGCCGUAA